rnacentral:misc_RNA from 1 species
GGAUAAAGCCACCCCUUUUGGUCCUCCUCUUGCUUUGUCUCUGCUCUCACUGAGAAAGCAAUAAGCAAAGUUAAGCAACGCGAAAAGCUCUAUAACUAUCUCCUAGCUUUCUUCCUUUCUUCAACAAUUUUGCUUGUAGAUGCUCUUUUGGACUUUAAAAUCGUUACCUCCAUUCACUUUGACUCGCCCGAGUUCAUCUAAUGGCCAAUAACCCCACGGACCCUCCAGCCGAUGAUUUCCUCCAGGAAAUCCUUGGCCUCCCUAACUUCGC